GAAUUCACAAUGGGCGCAACCUGAUGCAGCAACGCCGCGUGAGGGAUGACGGCCUUCGGGUUGUAAACCUCUUUUGGUAGGGAAGAAGCCUUCGGGUGACGGUACCUGCAGAAAAAGCGCCGGCUAACUACGUGCCAGCAGCCGCGGGAAUACGUAGGGCGCAAGCGUUAUCCGGAAUUAUUGGGCGUAAAGAGCUCGUAGGCGGUCUGUCGCGUCUGCUGUGAAAUCUCGAGGCUCAACCUCGGGCUUGCAGUGGGUACGGGCAGACUAGAGUGCGGAAGGGGAGAUUGGAAUUCCCGGUGUAGAGGUGAAAUGCCCAGACAUCACUAUGAACACCGAUGGCGAAAGCAGAUCUCUGGGCCGCUACUGACUCUGAGGAGUGAAAGGCUGGGGAGCAAACAGGCUUAUUUACCCUGGUAGUCACCCCGGAAAACUUUGCCAACCAGUUGAGGGGUCCUUUCACAGAUUCCGUGACCUCCUAACGCAUUAAGUUCCCCGCCUGGGGAGUAUGGGCGCUAUGCUCCAACUC
rnacentral:rRNA from 1 species